rnacentral:lncRNA from 1 species
GAUAAACCAGUAUUCUGGACUAAGCCAACCUGGGAGACCCUAGGAGGCCUGUUUGAGAAAGUGACAUUUAAAUUGAGACUUGGCGGUGGCUGUGGCUACAUAUCUAAUUGCAAACUCCUAGAGAAGGGCUCAACAGUGAGUGCUGAGGCUGCACAGAGGAGGAAGGCAGCACAAUGAUGGAAGGCUUCCUAAAGAGAUAACACUAACAAAGUUGACCUUAGAAUUGGAGUGCCUGGGUUAGAACCCUGCUGGUACCACCUGCUUACUGCAUGCUUCUGAUGUGAGUUCAGGAGAAGACACUGGCAAGGACAGCAAAGAACAGGAGAACACUCUAGCUUCCCUGAUAGCAUUCAAGGUGCUGUCCAAACUGACUGUGAUGGCACCCUCCAGACAGACAGCGAUGCCACAUGUUCAAGAUGGCAGAAUCACUAUCAGCUUCAAUUCCUGAAUGACUGCAGAGCAAAAUUUCUUACCCGCAACAUACACUCUAUUUUCAGCCUCCCUGGACUGUUACAUAAUGAUACAUAAAAAUAUUUCUUGUGUUGAGGCAUCCCAAAUUUGAUCUAUUUGUCAUCACAGUCUAUCCUCUGAAUAUAUUUCUGAUCCAAAUAAUGCUAGAUUCAUGCGAGUUUAUAGUCCAGAGAUUUUUUUUUUUUUUUUUUUUUGAGACAGAAUCUCACUGUCUCCCAGGCCGGGGUGCAGUGGCAUAAUCUUAGCUCACUGCAACCUCCACCUCCUGGGCUCAAGUGAUCCUCCCUCCUUAGCCUCCAUGAGUAGCUGGGACCACAGGUGUGCACCACCACACCCCGCUAAUUAUUUUGUAUUUUUUGCAGAGGGGGGUUUCACCACAUUGCCCAAGCUGGUCUCAAACUCCUAGACUUAAGGGAUCUGCCCGCCUUGGCCUCCCAAAAUGCUGAAAUUACACUUGUUAGCCAUAGUAAUAGUUCCUAGCCACAGUCCGGAGAUAUUUUAAAAACUUUAGUGUGAGUUAUUUCUCUUUGCUGUAAUUCUCUCAUGCAUUUUGAAAACCUUUUCUGCCAUACAGUGGUUUUUGGGAAGUCCUUUUGGACAGACAUAUCACAGGAUGGAGAAACUAAAGA